rnacentral:rRNA from 1 species
GAUGAACGCUGGCGGCGUGCCUAAUACAUGCAAAUCGAGCGAACGGACGAGAAGCUUGCUUCUCUGAUGUUAGCGGCGGACGGGUGAGUAACACGUGGAUAACCUACCUAUAAGACUGGGAUAACUUCGGGAAACCGGAGCUAAUACCGGAUGAUAUUUUGAACCGCAUGGUUCAAAAGUGAAAGACGGUCUUGCUGUCACUUAUAGAUGGAUCCGCGCUGCAUUAGCUAGUUGGUAAGGUAACGGCUUACCAAGGCAACGAUGCAUAGCCGACCUGAGAGGGUGAUCGGCCACACUGGAACUGAGACACGGUCCAGACUCCUACGGGAGGCAGCAGUAGGGAAUCUUCCGCAAAGGGCGAAAGCCUGACGGAGCAACGCCGCGUGAGUGAUGAAGGCCUUCGGAUCGUAAAACUCUGUUAUUAGGGAAGAACAUAUGUGUAAGUAACUGUGCACAUCUUGACGGUACCUAAUCAGAAAGCCACGGCUAACUACGUG